UAGGGAAUCUUCCACAAUGGGCGCAAGCCUGAUGGAGCAACACCGCGUGAGUGAAGAAGGGUUUCGGCUCGUAAAGCUCUGUUGUUAGAGAAGAACGUGCGUGAGAGCAACUGUUCACGCAGUGACGGUAUCUAACCAGAAAGUCACGGCUAACUACGUGCCUG
rnacentral:rRNA from 1 species